rnacentral:rRNA from 1 species
UGCAAGUCGAACGAAGUUUUUAGCUUGCUAAGAACUUAGCGGCGGAAGGGUUAGUAAUACAUGGGUAACCCACCUUUAACACUGGGAUAACGGUUGGAAACGGCCGCUAAUACCGGAUGUAGUGCUUCAGGGCAACCUGAAAACAUUAAAGUGGGGGAUCUUCGGACCUUGCAGUUAAAGAGGGGCCCAUGGGGUAUCAGCUUGUUGGUGUGGUAAAGGCGCACCAAGGCUAAGACGUCUAGGCGGAUUGAGAGAUUGACCGCCAACACUGGGACUGAGACACUGCCCAGACUCCUACGGGAGGCUGCAGUCGAGAAUCAUUCGCAAUGGGCGAAAGCCUGACGAUGCGACGCCGUGUGAGUGAAGAAGGCCUUCGGGUCGUAAAACUCUUUCGCCUGGGAACAAGAGAAGGUAGCUAAUAUCUACCUAAUUUGAGGGUACCAGGUAAAGAAGCACCGGCUAACUCCGUGCCAGCAGCUGCGGUAAUACGGAGGGUGCAAGCAUUAAUCGGAUUUAUUGGGCGUAAAGGGGGCGUAGGCGGAGAUGAAAGUCAGAUGUGAAAGCCCAGGGCUCAACCCUGGAACUGCAUUUGAAACUUCAUCCCUAGAGGAUAGGCGG